rnacentral:lncRNA from 14 species
AGCAGAGCCUGGAGAAGAUCAGGACAGAGCCAGACACAUGUCAUAUUACCACUCGGAGAUCUGAGAGACCUCUGAAUUAGGAAACCUACCACUUCAUUUGUUCUCCACCUUCACUACAGUGUGAUGCACACCAGCCCUUCAGCUUUUCUUCUUGCUGUGUGACCUCAUGGAUAUAUAAUUCUCAUGGUUCAAAACCAUAUAAAAAAAAAGUAGUUUGAAAGGGUUCACUACCACAGGUUUGGGUUAACCUUGAUCAUUUCAGUGCAACAGUGGGAUUAGAAACAUAGAGAUUUAUGGAAAGAUCCAAGACCCCUCAAAGCUUCUGGCUUGGAGCUAUCUGUUAUUUGGAGGGAAGCCUGAAGAAGAGGAGGGACCUCGUACCAAAUCCCCCCCUGCAUCACUCAGGAAAAAAGGCUCAUAGAAAUCUUCAAGAGCCAAACGGUGAAGUGGAUCGGGGGUCGGGUUCCCUUGCUCGGGCUGGCUGGGGCGGGGGCGGGGACGAAAUGGAUGGGUGAAUGGAUAGAGGCAUGGAGGAUGGGGCAGGAGCUGGGCACCGCCUGCUGACAUCCACCUGAAGACGGACGGCCAAGAGAACAGGCUGCGGUGCGAUGAGGAAGCGAUCACCAACUUCCCUGCGUGAAUUAAGUGAGGACUGGAAUAGGCGGGGACCCCUGUUUGAGUUACACUCGAGCUCUCACUAGAGAUCUUUAGUCCAACGUAUUAAUUCACCUACCAACAGGUAGAAAACGUCUCUCGGAGCAGUAAUUAUGAAGUGCAAAGCCCCUGCCACUAAAUUAUGUCAAAGUGGUGGGCUAUUUUGAGAUGCUCUUCCCCGUGCGCCCCCCCUCCCGCCCCUUACAGAAUUGGUUUGCUCAGGCGCUCCGUCUCUAAGCCCAGGCUGAUCGAAAUACAGCCGCUGGAGAGCCUGCCCGGUGUUUAAAUGUAUCUGGAUUUCCGAUACGCGCCCCGAUCUCUGCCGGAGCCUCGGGGGGACCGCGGCAUCAUCCGUCCUUCCGUAAAUCCGUCCGUCCGUCCGUCCCCGCCGGGCUGGCCAAUCCCCCGGCGCCGGGGCCCUGGAUCGGGGCGGAGGGCGCCGGCUCGGCAGCUGCUCCAGCACUAAUUGUUUCCUUUAAUAAUAAUAAAUAUAUUUUAAAAAUGC